rnacentral:rRNA from 1 species
CCAGAGUUUGAUCAUGGCUCAGAUUGAACGCUGGCGGCAGGCCUAACACAUGCAAGUCGAACGGUAACAGGAAGCAGCUUGCUGCUUUGCUGACGAGUGGCGGACGGGUGAGUAAUGUCUGGGAAACUGCCUGAUGGAGGGGGAUAACUACUGGAAACGGUAGCUAAUACCGCAUAACGUCGCAAGACCAAAGAGGGGGACCUUCGGGCCUCUUGCCAUCGGAUGUGCCCAGAUGGGAUUAGCUAGUAGGUGGGGUAACGGCUCACCUAGGCGACGAUCCCUAGCUGGUCUGAGAGGAUGACCAGCCACACUGGAACUGAGACACGGUCCAGACUCCUACGGGAGGCAGCAGUGGGGAAUAUUGCACAAUGGGCGCAAGCCUGAUGCAGCCAUGCCGCGUGUAUGAAGAAGGCCUUCGGGUUGUAAAGUACUUUCAGCGGGGAGGAAGGCGAUAAGGUUAAUAACCUUGUCGAUUGACGUUACCCGCAGAAGAAGCACCGGCUAACUCCGUGCCAGCAGCCGCGGUAAUACGGAGGGUGCAAGCGUUAAUCGGAAUUACUGGGCGUAAAGCGCACGCAGGCGGUCUGUCAAGUCGGAUGUGAAAUCCCCGGGCUCAACCUGGGAACUGCAUUCGAAACUGGCAGGCUAGAGUCUUGUAGAGGGGGGUAGAAUUCCAGGUGUAGCGGUGAAAUGCGUAGAGAUCUGGAGGAAUACCGGUGGCGAAGGCGGCCCCUGGACAAGACUGACGCUCAGGUGCGAAAGCGUGGGGAGCAAACAGGAUUAGAUACCCUGGUAGUCCACGCCGUAAACGAUGUCGACUUGGAGGUUGUGCCCUUGAGGCGUGGCUUCCGGAGCUAACGCGUUAAGUCGACCGCCUGGGGAGUACGGCCGCAAGGUUAAAACUCAAAUGAAUUGACGGGGGCCCGCACAAGCGGUGGAGCAUGUGGUUUAAUUCGAUGCAACGCGAAGAACCUUACCUACUCUUGACAUCCAGAGAACUUACCAGAGAUGCUUUGGUGCCUUCGGGAACUCUGAGACAGGUGCUGCAUGGCUGUCGUCAGCUCGUGUUGUGAAAUGUUGGGUUAAGUCCCGCAACGAGCGCAACCCUUAUCCUUUGUUGCCAGCGGUCCGGCCGGGAACUCAAAGGAGACUGCCAGUGAUAAACUGGAGGAAGGUGGGGAUGACGUCAAGUCAUCAUGGCCCUUACGAGUAGGGCUACACACGUGCUACAAUGGCGCAUACAAAGAGAAGCGACCUCGCGAGAGCAAGCGGACCUCAUAAAGUGCGUCGUAGUCCGGAUUGGAGUCUGCAACUCGACUCCAUGAAGUCGGAAUCGCUAGUAAUCGUGGAUCAGAAUGCCACGGUGAAUACGUUCCCGGGCCUUGUACACACCGCCCGUCACACCAUGGGAGUGGGUUGCAAAAGAAGUAGGUAGCUUAACCUUCGGGAGGGCGCUUACCACUUUGUGAUUCAUGACUGGGGUGAAGUCGUAACAAGGUAACCGUAGGGGAACCUGCGGCUGGAUCACCUCCUUCUAGACUGCAG